GGAAUGGCUGUGUUCAAUGAGAACUUUAUUUAUGGAUACUGAAAUUUAAAUUUCAUAUAAUUUUCAUGUUGUCAUAAACUAUUAUUCUUUUCACUUGUUCCUCCAUUAAAAUAAUUUUAAAAAUCAGAUCAUGGGUCAUACAAAAAGAGUCAGUGAGGCUCUGGCCAUGAGUCAUAGUCAG